CAACUGUAGCUGUAAAAACUGUAGCUGUAUCAACCACAAGAGUAGACUGAGACUCAUGAUCAUCAACUGAUUCAGCAAGAGACUGACCUAAAGUUCACUUUGUAAACUGUUGUUCCUUUUUAGCAGGCUUGUUCACAAAGGACAUAGUGAAGCUAGUCCAGGCUUUUAGACAUUGCAACUGACAAGAAAAGAACAC